UAUAUAUAAAUACUGGUAGCUAAUUGCAGCUUUUUUCUAUGUUACAAUCUAACAUGUGGUGAAAUUUGUUCUAGAAACUGAUUUGCACUUUUUAGCCAACUAAAUUAAUUUUUUGUAGAAAAUACAUAAACAUAACUGGUUAUGGCUAGCUAUCUCCUAGCAGCAAAAGUCAGCUUUAUGAGUGGUCCAGGAGGGUGCUUUCUUGAGGACAUUGCCCGAAUGCUGCUGCUUUAUUUCCUAAUUGUCAAGUGUCAACUGUGUCUAUGUCAAUUGAAGAUGAAUUGUUUUGCAUGAGUUAUUGCUUGAGAAAGACAAAAAUCUUAUGGAUUUUGAAAGUGUGAAGCAGUGGAUGUCCGAAGAAUUUGAGAGGCCACACACUUGUCCAGUUGAUGAUUGCCAUUCCAGCUAUUGAAGAAAGGACCACUUGACUCAGCAUCUGCAUCUUCUUUAGCACAAAGAAAACUGUGGCCAAGGUAACAUGCAUGACACGAAUAGGGUGUGGAAUGGCUUUCAGAUUUUCAUCAAAACUGCAAAAGCAUGACAAAUCACAUAUUAAACUAGAUUCGGUGGAGGCACUUUGCUGCGGACCAGGUUGCAUGAAUAAUAUUGCUAAUGAUCAAUGCCUUGAGGCUCACAUCCAAUCCAGCCACCAACUUGGUACUUGUGAGUUGUGAGAUAUGUUGGACCAAGCGGCACCUAUGAAAGAAUGAAAUGCUCCUAUGAGUGUUUUCUUCACACUUUUUCAUUUUUUUUUUUUUUUUUUUUUUGGAAGAACGCACAAUUUCAACUGAAAGAUACUGCAAUUUUAAGAAUUUUUAUUCAUACUGCACUUUUAAGAAUUUUCAUUGAAUAAAGAUCCCCUUAGAAAUGCUUAUUAUAA